rnacentral:rRNA from 1 species
UACUCCUUCGGGAGGCAGCAGUGGGGAAUUUUGGACAAUGGGGGAAACCCUGAUCCAGCCAUCCCGCGUGUGCGAUGAAGGCCUUCGGGUUGUAAAGCACUUUUGGCAGGAAAGAAACGUCGCGGGUUAAUACCCCGCGAAACUGACGGUACCUGCAGAAUAAGCACCGGCUAACUACGUGCCAGCAGCCGCGGUAAUACGUAGGGUGCAAGCGUUAAUCGGAAUUACUGGGCGUAAAGCGUGCGCAGGCGGUUCGGAAAGAAAGAUGUGAAAUCCCAGAGCUUAACUUUGGAACUGCAUUUUUAACUACCGGGCUAGAGUGUGUCAGAGGGAGGUGGAAUUCCGCGUGUAGCAGUGAAAUGCGUAGAUAUGCGGAGGAACACCGAUGGCGAAGGCAGCCUCCUGGGAUAACACUGACGCUCAUGCACGAAAGCGUGGGGAGCAAACAGGAUUAGAUACCCUGGUAGUCCACGCCCUAAACGAUGUCAACUAGCUGUUGGGGCCUUCGGGCCUUGGUAGCGCAGCUAACGCGUGAAGUUGACCGCCUGGGGAGUACGGUCGCAAGAUUAAAACUCAAAGGAAUUGACGGA